rnacentral:rRNA from 1 species
AUUGAACGCUAGCGGGAUGCUUUACACAUGCAAGUCGAGCGAGCGGCGGGCGGGUGAGUGAUGUAUGGGGACUGCCCGAUAGAGGGGGAUACCUACUGGAAACAGUAGAUCAUACCCCAUACCAUCUGAUUACCCCUAUGGGAUUAGCUAGUAGGUGAGGGACAGGCUCACAGAGGCGCCGAUCCCUAGAUGGUCUGAGAGGAGGAGAAGCCACAGUGGGACUGAGACACGGCCCAGACUCCGAAGGAGGCAGCAGUGGGGAAUAUUGCACAAUGGGCGCAAGCCGGAUGCAGCCAUGCCGCGUGUAUGAAGAAGGCCUUAGGGGUGGAAAGUACUUUCAGCCGGGAGGCGUUACCGACAGAAGAAGCACCGGCUAACGCCGUGCCAGCAGCCGCGGUAAUUC